GCAAGUCGAACGGUAACAGGAAGAAGCUUGCUUCUUUGCUGACGAGUGGCGGACGGGUGAGUAAUGUCUGGGAAACUGCCUGAUGGAGGGGGAUAACUACUGGAAACGGUAGCUAAUACCGCAUAACGUCGCAAGACCAAAGAGGGGGACCUUCGGGCCUCUUGCCAUCGGAUGUGCCCAGAUGGAAUUAGCUAGUAGGUGGGGUAACGGCUCACCUAGGCGACGAUCCCUAGCUGGUCUGAGAGGAUGACCAGCCACACUGGAACUGAGACACGGUCCAGACUCCUACGGGAGGCAGCAGUGGGGAAUAUUGCACAAUGGGCGCAAGCCUGAUGCAGCCAUGCCGCGUGUAUGAAGAAGGCCUUAGGGUUGUAAAGUACUUUCAGCGGGGAGGAAGGGAGUAAAGUUAAUACCUUUGCUCAUUGACGUUACCCGCAGAAGAAGCACCGGCUAACUCCGUGCCAGCAGCCGCGGUAAUACGGAGGGUGCAAGCGUUAAUCGGAAUUACUGGGCGUAAAGCGCACGCAGGCGGUUUGUUAAGUCAGAUGUGAAAUCCCCGGGCUCAACCUGGGAACUGCAUCUGAUACUGGCAAGCUUGAGUCUCGUAGAGGGGGGUAGAAUUCCAGGUGUAGCGGUGAAAUGCGUAGAGAUCUGGAGGAAUACCGGUGGCGAAGGCGG
rnacentral:rRNA from 1 species